GAAUAGCAUAGCAAAUAGCUAUAAGGAUGAACUAAAUGCGCUGGAAGCAUUGAUUAAGUUACUAAUCAGCAACCUUUGAUUGCACAACACAAGACAUUUUUAUCAAUCUUGAUCUGCUGAUGUUGAAGACACUAAAAGUUCUAUAAGCUAACUGGAACACAAAAUGCAUGAGCUAUUCAGACAAGUCCUGAAUGAAAAGGAUUUAUCAAGGGCUGGGGAGCUGUUUUCUCUGGAAGAUGAGCAAGUGGUUGGGGACUUGGAAGAGGUGCUGAAGAAGAUCUUGGAGGUGACAAGUCGACCAGAAUUCCUCAACAGCAUCAAUGAACAGAGUGUGGUGGAAAUUGCCAUAACCAGGGUCACAUCAGCCAUCAGGGACACGCAAACGAUUGAGGGUCACGCGGCGGCGCUGGUUCGUCUACUAGACUCCUGUCUACAGCACGACUUGAAACCGUCUGAUCGCGAUGAAGACCCGCCGCACGCCAAGAUGGCCUCAGAUGUGCUUGCCUGCUUGUUUCUGAACUACAGCCGCCAGUCGGUGAUGCAGCUGGCCAUCCCCGUGGCCGUCCAGUUCUUCGUCAAAGGCAGUCGGGAACUGAGCCGAAACCUGGCCGCCUAUCUGUCUCUGGUGGCUAUCGAAAACGCUCAGCUGCUGGCGGACUACGUGCCAAACCUCAUGGAUAGCAUCGCGACAGGAAACUACCAGCUGACGCAGGUGCUGCCGCCCGUGUACCGUCUUCAGCCGGAGAGGUUCAACAGACACAUGGGCACGCUGGUGUCGGUGAUGCCGCUCUGCCUCGGCCAGGAGCGGCUGGCCAUCGUCGACCUGUUCCAGCUCAUGGCCAAACAGCAGCCGCAGCUGCUGAAGUCGGCCGUGCCACAGCUGUGCGAGUACCUGUGCUCGCCCGCCAUCGCCGCCGCCACCGCCCAGGUCCUGGUCACCAUGACCGUGGCGGCGCCGCAGACCAUGGCCGAGCACGUCAACAAGCUGAAGCUGACUGUGGACAACCAGCCGGCCGCGCUGCCGCACGUGCUGCCAGUGCUGGUGGCGUUCGGACAGCGCACCACCAGGAGCGUGGCGCGGGACCUGCUGCUCUUCCUGCUGACGCGGGCCGGUGUCUCCGACUGUGUGAGCGUGCACGCUCUGAGCCAGGAGGUGCGUCAGCUGGUGGCGUGUCACCCCACCCUGCUGCCGCCGGCCCUGCUCCGGGAUAUGGAGCAGCAGCCGGACCUGGCCGCAGCAGUACAGAAGCCUCGGUUAUAUCUGAGCACAGAGGAGGCCUCCAGACGUCUUUCGGACGACAACUGUGUCACUAUCGUGAAGGUGGGCUCGGGCGGCAGUCGCGAGCUGUGGUCUACCUCCUCACGAGACCUGCUGGCCUCACGAGACCCGCUCAGAAAGCUGGGCGACUCGAGCCGAUCCACGCCGCGACUCAACCAAAGCCGCACCAUUGCCAGCACGGCGUCCACGUCCUUGAUCGGACUGAAGGCGCCACUGCACAAGUCCAUGACACAGGUCAACCACUCGUCUCAGCUCAUCACCAGGUUCCCGGCCGGCUCCCGCGGCCAGCUACCCUCCUCUCAGCGGGCGCUCAACAGUUUGACAGUGACACUCGGCGCCGGAGCGGAGACCGUCAGCGGACCACAGUCGGUCAGCGCCAGCGCCGGCACCCUCUCCGACGAGGCGCCGACCACGGCUGCCGCCUCUCCAUCCAAUGGCUCCACCCGUCAGCUUCCAGCCGCUACAGUGGCGGCGGUGACCGCGGCGGCGGCCGCCGUCGUCAGUGCCGCCUCCGCUGCCGCCCCCGCCGCCGCCCCCGCCCCGGCGACAACCACUGCCCCCGCCGCCACCACCGCUGCCGCCGCGCCGUCCGCCGCUCCAGCGCCAGUUCCGACCGCGGCUCCGCGCUCUGUGCCAACCAUUCCACGCAGCCGAACGCCGGGUCCCAUGGGUGCCAGCGCCAGCCACCACACGGGUCCGGUGCCUACCCAUUCGACCACCUCUCUGCCUGCCACGCCGGUACAGCGUCGAAACACCACGGUGACUCUCAUCAGCUCGGGCGGACAGCAGCCGACACCGCCCUCUGCUACACAGCGAAUCAGCGUGUUCGAGCCGUACCAGAUGCGGGACACGAUGCAGCAUUUCUGCGAGAAGCACCUGGACAAGAUCAAAGAGUACAUGCAGAAGGUUAUGGUGCGCCUGCCGCUGCCCGUCAAGUGCACCAUCGAAGAGCGAAAGAGUCGAAAGCAGGCCAAGCUGCACUUUGUGUGCCAGAUCCACGGUGAAUACUGCCUCUACAGCAAGUCCUUCUACCCCAUGAAGACCAAGAACCCGCGGACCUGGAUUCACCUCAUGUUCCUAACGCUCCAAGCACGGGCCUCGUCGGCUCUCAGCAGCCGUGACCAGGGCCCCAACAGUCUGAAGAACUGCUGGGACACUCUGCGCUGGGAGUCCACCUCGUUCCUGGAGGUGGUCACCGGCUGCUUCCCCACUGCUAAGGAGACAGACGUACUACUGCAGGAGCUGCGUAGCGCGCGCUUCUUCGACGUGUUCGAGUACAACGGGAUGCAGCAGCAGUGGGGCUGCUUCCUCUGCAAUCACCCCGAGAAGGCCGAGGGAUUCGUCAAGCCGGACCAGCCGGUGAUGGAGGGACAGCUGAAGGAGAAGAAGGGACGCUGGAAGAUCUUCAAACGCUGGCGGACACGCUACUUCACACUGUCAGGGGCUCAUCUCAGCUACAGAUGCUCUGAGCAACCGCGACUGGACAACCACGAGAUCGGCGUGCACGAGAUUCGAUCGGUCAAGGUCUCUCGCAGCGGGCGAAACAUACCCAAGGCGUUCGAGAUUUUCACCCACGACCGCACCUACGUGCUCAAAGCCAAGGACGGUAAGAAGACGGAGGAGUGGGUGCGCUGUCUGUCGGUGGCGGUGGCCCACCAGAACAGCCGACCACGCGCCGACACCAUCAGCCUGGGCGUCAACUCGGUGGGCAAUCUGCACAGCAUGCCGCAGCUGGCUACACUCUGACGCCAGGCACUGUGACCGAGGAAUGUUUACGGUCUGCUGGGGAGGGAUUGAAGGUCGUCUUCGGAGGAUCGAAGAGGAUCGAGCUCGGUUGCUGAGAGACUGAGGGCUGAGGGCUGUCUGGAGCCAUAUCUGGAGGGCCGAGGAUCGCUCUUGUUGGACGCUUUGAGACUGAAUUGAUUGUAGAGUCGAUCACUGGGUCUCUGACUGGUCGCUGAAGACUGAAGUAUCCUGGGUGGUCGCUUGAACCCUUGACGGUCGCUGGGGCUCGGAGUAGCGCCCUCUUCCGUUGUUCACGUUUGAUCAGCGUCUCUAUUCCACUGUUGACGACUGCUGUUGCCCUCGAUCCAUCCCUGAAGAUUGAGGGACGCCGUGGUCUGAGCCCCAACAGUGGGCUGGACUGCAGCCAGCUUCAUCUGCCCGCAGAAGCAGCUGAACACGGAGAGGAAGUUGUUCGUUGAUGUUGCACUUGGACUCAGACGGAUGGCCUCCUGUGUUGGUGGGGCGAGCGUGAUGUGUAAAGAAGUUACUUGAUCGUGGAAUGAUGACACCUGGCUGGUGAGAGGCAUUUGAGAACUCUGUGGCACAGCUGAGGCGCCGCAAAAGCAUGACGCAGCUAGUUAUCCAGCUCAAGUAGUGAAGUGGCUGCUGUUUUUAUCACUCGAGACUGAACUGCCUUCCUAGGGAAAAAUGAGGGGCAGCUGGGCAUUCGGUGCUCACGUCGCCGGUUUUAUUCGAUCGACGGUAGCUGCUGUAUGCAUUCAAUCAAAUGGUGGCAAAGGUCACAAUGAAUUUUGUGACUGUUGUGCAGUUUUUGCGCCCCCUGAGGCACGAUUGUGCCACAUUGUGCGGACACAACUUAUUCCUCCUGGGCUGUUGUAGCAUAUUGACUUCGUGAGGCCCGUGAAAGGGAUGAGAGGUGGUGUUCGCCAACACAUUCCUGGGUGAACGCCCUAUGUAGUGGGGCUGUCACGUGAUAUGGCGUGCUUCCUACUGAACUCCUGCAGGCUCGGUCACGUGGGUCUUAAGGAUGCCAUGCCCGACGAGAGAUUUCUAUUUUGUCAGUGCAUAGUAUGAGCUCACUCUGCGUGCGAUUACCGUACUUCGGGCGGCUGUAUGUUCUUGUGCCUUAUUUUAUGCUCCAUGGAUGAGGUGCCUUGCGCUCGGGUCAGAUAAUGCUUCGGCGAGGUUGUCUAUAAUACUGUAUCCGCAUCGCUAUUGUAACUGGAAUUUUGUACGAUCCGAUCCGGCCCAGCUAGCUGUGAGGGAUUUUAGCAUUGACUCGUGUUACCACAGGCAAUGGUACAAACAGACAGACUGUGGAUACCGGCUUGCCGUGGAGCUGCCAGAUUUGCGCUGUCUUCCGGCCGCCGGCCUGAUUUACUGACAUUCCUGACGCUCUAAUUGGGGCCGCGCUUAGAUAUUAGCUUGGUGUCACUCUAGGAUUUUCCUUCGCGAGCUAUUGGAUGUAACAGGCAUGCUUUAAAUAACUCGACGUGUGGGACAUUUUGCUACGAUUAUUUCCAAGAGGUAUACAUAAUAGUGUGAAUGAUGUGAAUAUUAUUGCGAUCUGCAAUUGAGGUUUGGGUAUUGGCUGCCAUUUUGUUGACGCUAUUCUCCUCCCUGAUAGAUGGCAGCAGUUUCGAGUGUCCUUGGUCGCGUGACAUGACCUUUUCCGGUCCGGAAAGUUCAGUGUGGCCACCGUCUUUCACAUUUUCCUGUUCGGCCUGACGGUGCCGAUCUAUUUCAGCUCGGGCAUCUUCGGCAUUAAUUACACGAGAUCGCCCCGUUUUGUACUUACUUGAAUUUAUAUUUAUGUGUAUUUAUCGCUGAAGAUAAUGACCCGAAGCUGGGCAAAUAAAUGUUUUAUAUUUUGUGGUU
rnacentral:misc_RNA from 1 species